rnacentral:misc_RNA from 1 species
GAUGAAGAACGCAGUGAAAUGCGAUAAGUAGUGUGAAUUGCAGAAUUCAGUGAAUCAUCGAAUCUUUGAACGCACAUUGCGCCCCUUGGUAUUCCAUGGGGCAUGCCUGUUCGAGCGUCAUUUGUACCUUCAAGCUCUGCUUGGUGUUGGGUGUUUGUCUCGCCUCUGCGUGUAGACUCGCCUCAAAACAAUUGGCAGCCGGCGUAUUGAUUUCGGAGCGCAGUACAUCUCGCGCUUUGCACUCAUAACGACGACGUCCAAAAGUACAUUUUUACACUCUCGACCUCGGAUCAGGUAGGGAUACCCGCUGAACUUAAGCAUAUCAAUAAGCGGAGGA